ACGGAGACUGGAACCUUCGUGGACGCAUGUACUCAUUGCACUUUCCGGCACGAAGCAAGGAGAAGCGGAGGUGGGCAGCGUGGGGCAUGACCUUCUCCGCGGGACCCACGCCGGGACCCCCCCGCCGACCUCUCUCUCUCUCUCUCUCCCUGUCACGGUGAUCGGUCCGUGCCGCGACCUCUUCUUCCUUUGAUCCCUCAAGACGCUGUCGUCGUCGUCGUCGCCGCCGUGGUUUGCGCUGGAAACGGCAAGGUUUUAUUGCUCGGGAAGAAGCCGUUUUGAUCUGUUCACGAGUGGUUGUACGUGCCACGAGUGUGGGUCCCACCUGCCGUUUUGGACUCGAGCGGACUUGAUCGAGCUGAGAUCGGGUCGAGCUUGAUUCAGUUACCAGACGUAUCAAGAAAGGGUGAGAGGUGCCGGGGCGACCGCGGACGAUGAGGACGUUUCCGGCGAGUAGGGCUUCCAGGAGCGCGAGGAGGAUGGGCGGAGUGCUGGUGGGAGCAGCGGAAUGAACGGAUCCAAGUUCCUUUUGGAGUUCAAGUUCGUGCAAAGAGUCCACAAGGGAAUAUGCGAGGAUACAUCAACUCAAAGAAGUAAUAGCUCUCAUAUAAGCAACAGGGAAGCCAUUUGUUUAGAGAAUCAGGAAAUAAAGGGGAUGAUGAGGGACCUCAUCACUACCUUAAUAUAAAAUGCUGGUCAUUCUUUGGGCUCACAAAAUCUGUGCCUCCUCUUCAAACAUCCAGCUAAACCACGUAAAUGCAGCAGCAUGUGGAUUUCCAGCUCCGCGUUUGAUCCUGACAUAGAUCUUGAUGUUUCAUUUAUCUGAUUCUUCCAGAUCGAUGAUGCUAGGAUUUGACAGAGAAGGGAGCAUGCAGAUUCCGUUCCACGUGAAGUGGGUCCUGAAUGGAAUCCAUCGGAGUGGUUGAUUGAGAUGGAGGAGUUAUUAGAGACCCUCAAACAAGGUUCAAUAAGUUUUCCUCGUCUUUGUCCUGGUGAAGCCCACCACUUCUUCCGAGAGGAAAACACCAAACCAUGUCUCGAUCAAGAUGGGUAAGUUGAGCCACACAGCCAGUGAAAGGACAUGAAUGCUAAUUUGGUUGGGUGCAAUUAGCAUGACCAUGGACGGUUGAUAAGGGGUGUUGAAGCUGCUGCUGCUGAGCCAUUGCACCAUGUGAAUUCCAUGGCACAAAAGGGACGGAAACUCGCUGUCAAAUCUCAUCAAUUUAAGAUGGUGACAUGUGUUUGAUGAUCAUGUACAGGUGGGUGGAGGAUGGGAAGAUUCUGGAAACCACAAGGGACAGAAGUCAGUGGAGAUGUGCACUGUGGAUAACGUUGUCUCUGGGUUAUCACACAAUUGAUUGUGCCUUGCUUUCUCCAAAAGCCAAACAGUGCUUCAGAAGUCAAAGGUGAAAGUCAUACAGUAACUCCACUGUCAUAUAGCUUGUCUUUUGAUAUAUAUGCUUGUAUGGUUUAUUUAAGAAUGAUAUUCUCUUCUUUUUCCUCGGUCCUCUACCAUGAGUUUCUGGUCUAUACAGGUUUAUUUUAUUAAUCUACUUGUUUCUAACAUGGAAAAUUAAUUACCAACUGGAAACUGUUAUUAGGCUGAAAGUUUGAUUCU